rnacentral:lncRNA from 1 species
CAGGAUGAGAGGAGAUGCUGGGCUUUGGUUAAAGAGCAGAGGUGGAGAAAAAGAUGGAGAGUAUAAGGCAGUUCCUUGGAAAUAGAGUGGAUACUGAGGGAAUAUGAUGACAUAGAGGAGGGAUGACCCGAGGGGCACAGCCGCAGCCAUGACUAUGGAUCUAUGAUUUUGGGUUGUGUAAAGAGAUCAAUGGCCCCAAAUGAGUGCUGCAGACCAGGUUCUGAAUGUGACUCGGUGAC